GUUUUCCUCAGCUUUGGGUAGUGGCAGCUGCCGGGCUUCGGCUUCCAGUGCGCGGAAGGCAAGGCAGCGUGGACAGCGGCGCCGGCACCCAGCGCCCCGCCGCCCGCAAGUCUCGCGCCAGCCCGCUGCACCCCUAGCCCGCCGCUUCCGGUCUCAGCGCCUGCUGCCGCCGCCGCGGCCCAGCGAGCGGCCCAGAUGCAGGCCAUCAAGGGUGUGGUGGUGGGAGACAGAGCUGUAGGUAAAACUUGCCUACUGAUCAGUUACACAAUCAAUGCAUUUCCUGGAGAAUAUGUCCCUACUGUCUCUGACAAUUAUUCUGCCAAUGUUGUGGUAGAUGGAAAACCGGUGAAUCUGGGCUUAUGGGAUAUAGCUGGACAAGACGAUUAUGACAGAUUACGCCCCCAUCCUAUCCGCAAACAGAUGUGUUCUUAAUUUGCUUUUCGCUUGUGAGUCCUGCAUCAUUUGAAAAUGUCCGUGCAAAGUGGUAUCCUGAGGUGCGGCACCACUGUCCCAACACUCCCAUCAUCCUAGUAGGAACUAAACUUGAUCUUAGGGAUGAUAAAGACACGGUCGAGAAACUGAAGGAGAAGAAGCUGACUCCCAUCACCUAUCCGCAGGGUCUAGCCAUGGCUAAGGAGAUUGGUGCUGCAAAAUACCUGGAGUGUUUGGUGCUCACACAGCGAGGCCUCAAGACAGUGUUUGACAAAGCGAUCCGAGCUGUCCUCUGCCCACAUCCCGUGAAGAAGAAGAGAAAAUGCCUGCUGUAGUAAAUGUCUGAGCUCCUCAUUCUUGGUCCUGUCCCUUGGAACCUUUGUUCGCUUUGCUCAAAAAACAGUGGAGCCUUUGCCCUCAAUGCCAACUUUUUGUUACAGAUUAAUUUUUCCAUAAAACCAUUUUGAAUCAAUCAUUACCUUUUAGGUUUUGUUUAUUCUAAAUGUAAGAGUUCAGACUCACAUUCUAUUAAAAUUUAGCCCUAAAAU